UUCUUUGGAAUUAUUAAUUGAAAAUUUACAUCUAGACAGCUGCACAUGUAGUUACUCCACAAUUAAAACUGCAGACCGACUCAUGAUGCGCUUUGGCCGGUUUAACUCUCUUUAAAGUAAUAAAAUCAAAACCAUCCUCUUCUAAAUUCCAUAGGCAGUGCCGAAUUUUUCCACAAAUGCCAGUACUAACUUUGAGAUAUUUCAGAUAUCAAUUUAUGGAUUUUAUUUUGGACUAUAAGGUGAAAUCCUUAAAAUGUUAACUUUGGCAAUAGGUAUCUUGUAGGGAAGGGGAACCUUGACAGUGGAGCACACCCGGAAGAUGAUAGUUCACAACAGAUUGGAUUUCAACAUUUCUGCUGCUGUAAUCUGAGAAUGUAAAUCUCGGGGAAGCACUUUUGGGACGGUGGAUGGAUAUUUAUGGUCUUCAUGAUAUUUAUGACCUACCCGUGCUGCUCUGACGGAGCCACUGCGGCCUGCGGCUGAGCCUCGCCCACCAUGCCGCUGGUGGUGGACGCCGUGUGGGCGCUGUGGAGCAUCACCGCCGGCAUCUACGACUACUUCCACACCAGCGCCAUGGAGGAGCGAAUUCACACGCUGGAGCACGUCCUCUCCAUCCACCAGUUUGUGAUUGCAGGCCUGUCGGCGGGCCUUGUCCUGCUCAUGGCCUAUAUACUACUGAGAAAACACUAAACACCUCCUGCAUAACAGUCAGUCUGCUCCUGCUGGAAGUUUGACUGAUGGUCCAGUCCACUGAGUCUUGGUGUUUUAAUUUUUAAUCUCGGUCUGUCUGCUGCUCUAACACAAAACCAUGAUGGGUUCUUGAAGGAAGCGUGGCACUUUAUCCGUUUGACAAGCUUGAAGAUCUUUGAAAUGUUAAUUUAUUCAUUCAUUCAUGUUUUAAAACUCAGCUAACUUAUUUAUUUCAAACAAAAGAACCAUAGCCACCACUGGAUCAGUGGCGUGCGGUCAGGGGGAACUCUCCUGUAAUCAUGAAAAGUAAAAUAGAUGCUAAUAAUGAUGAGAGAACAUAGAAAUGUUUUUCUAUAAAUUUGUUUUUUAUUUGUAAUAUCAAGAUCAGCGAUUUUUUUAAAUGAUAAAAAUCGUUGAAUUUACACAUUGCCUGUUGAAAUACAUGGAAGAAGUGAGGCAGUGUAGUGCCGUGCCUUACCUCUAGGGGCGCUGUGUUGCACACAGCAGUUCGCGCAUGCCCAUUACUGUUAUCUUAGCUUCGCUAAUAUAUUUAUUAAAUAACACAUGUUCUAUAUAUGUUUACGUUCCUCAGUCUGUAGGUAUAAUAUGUUUAAUAAAUGUGAGUGGCAUAUUCAGUCUUUCUAAUCAGCUGUAAUUGCGCAGUAAAAGUGCGCAGGGUGAAACAGGAAGUAAUGUUUCUCACCGAUAGGAGGCAGUGUUUAGCCCCAUUAGCACUACAGGCAACAGGUUCUCUUCUGCUCGUUGAAAAGAUUGAAAACGGUCAGAAAACUAAAAAUACAAUCAGAACAGAACCUUUAAGGCUGUCAGAAAAAUAAAAAAGGUAAGAUCAUACAAAAAUUCCAAUUUUAAUCAGAAAAGGAAGAAAUUAGCAAAAGAAAACAUUCAAAAUUAAAAAAUAAAUAAAUGUGACCUUAUAUUAAAUAGUUUGUUUUCUUGCUAUUAUAUUGUUGAAUAGUAUGGAAUUGAUGGAAAGACAAUUAAAAACUUCAUUAAAGGUCAAAUCUGAAAAAUAAGCUUCUAUUUUGGAUUUGUACAAAAUGAAUCGGUGUCUCACCAGUUCUGAUCCUCACCGCACGUCACUCUCAGAAAUGGCUUUUAUUUCGGUUCCUCCAUCUCGGGCACUGGAUGCAGUUAACCCAGAACUGAUAUCAUGUUUAUUAUUCUUAAUCAUUACCUAUAAACUCCGAACUAAAAUGCUUAUUUUUUGUGUGUUUAGAGGUUUCUAAGGUUUUAUACACAUGUUCUGCAGUUUCCCAUUGCUUGCCCUGUUUGUGCCAUGUGUUUAAAACAUGUCUUAUUUAAUUAAAUUAGGUUUUAUCUGCUGUAACAGGUCAGUCCCCAUGUUUACUAUCACUGUUCACUCCAACAUGUUUGCGUGACAACAACUGUAGUGAUGAUAUCAAAGGAAAUGUGACUAAUAAAUGUCAUUUUAAUUCA